UACGGAGGAUCCAAGCGUUAUCCGGAUUCAUUGGGUUUAAAGGGUGCGUAGGUGGAAUAGUAAGUCAGUGGUGAAAGCCUGUUGCUUAACAACAGAACUGCCAUUGAUACUGCUAAUCUUGAGUACAUUUGAAGUGGGCGGAAUGUGUCAUGUAGCGGUGAAAUGCUUAGAUAUGACCCAGAACACCGAUUGCGAAGGCAGCUCACUAAACUGUAACUGACACUGAGGCACGAAAGCGUGGGGAGCAAACAGG
rnacentral:rRNA from 1 species